UAGUUAUGGACAUCCCUAGGCUCUACCCACGAUGAUCAGGUAUCCGCCUAUCGUGGACUAGAUGCUGACAAAGCAGUAUCACCCUUGGAGACACUGAGCAUAACCCCCAUACCAGAAUACCCUUUGGACUCCGAGCAUAUUGAUGACACGAUAAAUCGAUACCGGCGCACAGUAACACCGACCAUCCAACGCAACCCAGAACAACCAGGCCAGUUGCCAUCCGGUGAACUUUUGCUGACAUCGAGAAAGCAUCGAACUCAAUCGGAGGACACAGGUGUGCCCUCGGUCUGGUCUGGCUCGAUCAGUCAGUUGGAAGUGAACGUUUGAAUCGAUAGGUCUAAUAGUCAGUUGAAAGCCCUUCUGGCCCAGUAUAAGUGUUAGGAAGUGUGAAAUGUAAAAUUAUAAACAAGAACAUAAUAAAAGUGAUGGGAUUAGGGUAAAUUUGAAACAAGUAGUUUUUUAAAAACCCUAAUGUGAAGUCCCGUCCAUUUUUGGCGCAGUCGUACGGAACACUCUACGUGCAGUGCUAGUUUUUGGAAGACAAUCUAGUGACAAAACCCGAUCCGUGGUAAUUGGACAGUAGUGCGAAAACCGAAAAUUAGUGUCGAAUUGACGACAUCGGACGUGCCGGUAACCAAGGACUAAAAGUGUAACUGACUUGCGCAGGAUUCAGCAUUAAGUAGACGCUUAGCCCAACCCGUGGCGAAGCAAGAAACUAGUGACUAUCUCCAGUGAUCAUCAGGAACCAGGCUCUUGGAAACCAUCCCUCAACCCGUAGGUGAUUUGCGCCGCCCGACACGAAAACUGCAUCGGUGGGUUUCAACCCUUUAAGAGUGUCGAACCCUCGAAGAUGACACACAAACACCCGAUACUUUUUUGUCUUACAAUUAUGAUGUUUUUCAAUCCUAUUUACUCUGCUUACUUGGAAAUCCUUGAACUUAAUGAAAAUCCCGGUAUAGUUGCGUUCAAGACUAAUUCAGUCUUUAUAAAAGAAGGAUCUCACACACUAUUCCAUAGAUUUAAUUUAUUUUCCUUUACCGUCGUUCUCAAGCAGUAUGAAUCCAUUAUUUUGAACAUUGAAGAAAACCCAAAGAUAGCAGAACUAGUUAAAAUUCUUAAACAAAAGCAGAGUCAGGCUUAUUUUAUCCUUGAAAAUUUAACCGCUAGAAGUAGAAAAACAAAACGAUCUCUUAAUUUUCUUGGGUCUACCUUAAAAAUGAUUACAGGGAAUCUCGAUAAUGAAGAUUUGUUAAAAAUAGAAAACCAACUUGAAAUUCUUAAAAAUUCAAAUAACCUUUUAGUAACAGAGAAUAAUGAACAAAUUCAAAUUAAUAAAUUGUUUGAGGAAAGGAUUAACAAUAUUACUAAACAAGCUUAUAGACAGUCUAGGGAAAUAGAUAGCAUCAUUAAACAGACAAGACUGAGCUUAGACAGACCUGUCGAAUGGGAACAUCUCCUGCACCUACACAACAUCAUCUUCAACAUCGACAUGAUCAACCAGCAGCUGUCUACAAUUUUCGAGGCCAUUCAGUUGUCCAAGUUGGGUUUAAUUUCAAAGGCUUUCUUACAACCAUCAGAGCUAGAAUUUGCAACGAAUCUGUUGGAGUCACAAGGCGUUGUGAUUAACAGCUAUGACCAAGUUUAUGAGUUUUUGGAACCCAUAGCAUUCCACAAUAACUCAGACAUAA